UGGGGAAUAUUGGACAAUGGGCGCAAGCCUGAUCCAGCCAUGCCGCGUGAGUGAUGAAGGCCCUAGGGUUGUAAAGCUCUUUCGCCAGGGGACGAUAAUGACGGUACCUGGAUAAGAAGCCCCGGCUAACUUCGUGCCAGCAGCCGCGGUGAUACGAAGGGGGCUAGCGUUGUUCGGAAUCACUGGGCGUAAAGCGCACGUAGGCGGAUCUUUAAGUCAGGGGUGAAAUCCCGAGGCUCAACCUCGGAACUGCCUUUGAUACUGGAGGUCUCGAGUUCGGGAGAGGUGAGUGGAACUGCGAGUGUAGAGGUGAAAUUCGUAGAUAUUCGCAAGAACACCAGUGGCGAAGGCGGCUCACUGGCCCGAUACUGACGCUGAGGUGCGAAAGCGUGGGGAGCAAAACAGGAUUAGAUACCCUGGUAGUCCACGCCGUAAAACGAUGGAUGCUAGCCGUUGGGGAGCUUGCUCUUCAGUGGCGCAGCUAACGCUUUGAGCAUCCGCCUGGGGAGUACGGUCGCAAGAUUAAAACUUAAAUGAAUUGAC
rnacentral:rRNA from 1 species